rnacentral:rRNA from 1 species
UACGUAGGGGGCGAGCGUUCUCCGGAAUCAUUGGGCGUAAAGCGCACGCAGGCGGUCUGGCAAGUUCAAGGGGACAGCUACCAGCUUAACUGGUGGAGGACCUUGAAAACUGACAGACUUGAGGACCAGAGAGGGACAUGGAAUUCCAGGUGGAGCAGUGAAAUGCGUAGAUAUCUGGAGGAACACCAAAGGCGAAGGCAGUGUCCUGGAUGGUACCUGACGCUCAAGUGCGAAAGCCAGGGGAG